rnacentral:lncRNA from 1 species
ACUCCUCACCAAGAACUCCUGAACUUGAGAGUGGACGACUUCAAAGCUAGCUCUCACAGACUCACCUGGAAAAGAGUUCAGCUGCGCGUUCAUUGAACCGAGAGGCCAGAUCACCUAUGUGAGGCGGUGGGAACCAUAUGGAGAUUUAUAUUAGAACUUCAGCAAAGUGCACAGCUGCAGCCGGCAGAAGCCAGCUCUCGGGCUGACAGGCAAAUGAACCAGAUCGUGGACGGGGCCUCUGGGUGGCAGCUCCGGCCUUUUGGUUGUUGGACAACUAUAGUCAGAACUGAAAUGGAACAGGGGCAGGAGAAAUAACACACUUUUACUCCACGCAACUGUUGCUUUCACAUGAUCUUCAGGAAUGUAACUGGGAUAAUUGUCCAAAUUGAAUCCCAUACCCUGUCAUGCAUACCAGAAUAGGAGUCCUGUCUUAACUGAGCAAUAUACACUAUGGAGAGAUCCUUCAAAACCCGUCGGGACGAAUAACAGAUGAAUUCAUAAAACUGUUCAUCUCUGUUAUCCUGAAUGGUCACUCAGACAACAUUUUACUCAACUAUAAAGGGGAACACUUAAAGUGCAUAUGAGAAGAGAAGAGAAUGACCACAGGAGAAAAUCAUCUCAGGUAAAACGAAAAGGCACAAAUGUAGAGAGUAAUUAAUCUUAGAAUAUUAAAGAGAAAAUGAUUAUGUCUGUGUUUGGUAUAAGAAAUGGUCCUUCCCUUUAUGAAGCUACGUAUUUGGGAUUUUCACUGAUGGUUUUCCUUCAAGAGUUUACAGUAUUACUUGCCUUUGUCAACCUUUUGUUUGGUUUUGUGAUCAAUGCCCAGUGUCCAUCAUUCUGAGGACAUAUGUGUAUGUUGAUUUAUACAAUUCAGGUACAAGAUGGUUGAAUAGGAAGCUAUUUAAUGAAAAGGAAAAUAUGUUCUCAGUGGUUAUACAUUAUAAAAGGAAGUAAAAAUCUGAUAGAAAAGUAUAAGCUCAUAGUUUAUUUUUAAUCUUUUCCAUAUAUCUAGUAAGACAAUAAUGUCAAAGUAUAUUUUGUAGUAAUAAAAGCUACAGCCAGUGUUUCCUCUUUCUUUUUUUUAAACAUAAAAUGUAUAAAUAUAUAAGGAAAUACUUUUACUACAAUUGGAUGCAUGAUUGUUGAUUAUUUACUACAGUUUUAAUAAGUAGGAGAAUGAUUUGAAAAUAAAUAAUGGUGAAAAUUUGUGUAGGCCAAAUUAUCUGUAUUAAACUGGAGAAAAUACAUUCUAUUUUUAUUUAUUUCAAAACAUGCCAAAUCAUGAAGUAAUUACUAUGCAGUAUUAUUUUUCACAAUGAAGAUAUAAUUAAGAAAAGCUAAAUCAUUUUAGAUAUGAGUGCAAUGAUUAACGAUUGUACAACUUAUAAUUUUGCUUCAGAUGAGCUUAGAAUCCUAAAAAUGUACAUGUAACUGGCUUCAUGUGUGCUUACUGGCUUGCUUUCUUACAGUGUAGUAGCUGACAGAAUUAAGAAUCAUUUAUUUCAUUUCAACCUGUUGAACAGAGGAAUUAUAUGUAGCUGUGUAUUUUGUUGAAAGGAUAUAGUUCUUGGGAAAUAGAUUUAAAUGUGUUUUGUUGAAAGGGAAUGUAUGCUCCUUGGUGUGAUAUAAGCGACUACAAAUAUUCCAGAAUAGCAGGAAUAACACCGAUCAUGUCAUUGAUUUUAGGGUUUUUUGAUACCAUAUCUUUUCCUCACUGCUGUAAAAGUUUAAUUUCAUCCCCACUGUAGGCACAUGUCUGUACAUCUAGAAUUUGUGGGUUUUGUGUUCUUUACCUAGUCAACAAGACCUCAUUUGUUUAUAAAAAGCUAUAAUGUGACUAAAUCUCAAAAAUCAUUAACUGAGUUUUAUGUGAAUAAAUACAGUCACUCUAGUGCAUAUACAGUUUAAUAACUUCCUUUUUAGUUGUAGACUUAUCAUACUAUAUCUGUGCCUCACAACAGUAUAAUUCAUAUGUACAUAUAUUAGGUUCUCAAUUAGGACAUUUUAACAACAACGUUAAAAUAUUCACAGUUUAAAACAAAAGCAAUCUUUAAAAAAGAAAAAAUCAAGAAGAAAAGAGAGAAGUAAGAAAAGAAGAAAGGGAGGGAGAAAGAAAGAAAGAAAGAAAGAAAGAAAGAAAGAAAGAAAGAAAGAAAGAAAGAAAAGGAAAGAAGGAAGGAAGGAGAGAAGAAAG